rnacentral:rRNA from 1 species
UGGGGAAUAUUGCACAAUGGGGGAAACCCUGAUGCAGCAACGCCGCGUGAGCGAUGAAGGCCUUCGGGUUGUAAAGCUCUGUCUUCAGGGACGAUAAUGACGGUACCUGAGGAGGAAGCCACGGCUAACUACGUGCCAGCAGCCGCGGUAAUACGUAGGUGGCAAGCGUUGUCCGGAAUUAUUGGGCGUAAAGGAUGCGUAGGUGGUCCUUUAAGUGGGAUGUGAAAUCCCUGGGCUUAACCCAGGAAUUGCAUUCCAAACUGGAGGACUAGAGUGCAGGAGAGGAAAGUGGAAUUCCCAGUGUAGCGGUGAAAUGCGUAGAGAUUGGGAGGAACACCAGUGGCGAAGGCGGCUUUCUGGACUGUAACUGACACUGAGGCAUGAAAGCGUGGGGAGCAAA